GCACUUACUUACCCACCAUGACAAAGACCAGAGAUAUAUAUUCAUAGAUAGCUUUGGGGCGAGAGACAGACCUGAGUGAAAAGCCAUUCACACACUCACUCAACUUUCUUGUUCACCUUUCUUAGGGUUUUAUUCUUCUGCAACCUUGAAGCCUCAAUCAAGACAAAGAAAGGUGAAACCCUUAUCCAUCAGUUUCACCAUUUCAGGAGCUUUUUUAAAAUAUUGGACCACUUCAUAAUAGAGUCUUGUGACUUGUGAGUUAACAUCCACAUAUAUAUAUUUUUUAUUAUGCUAGAAUAAAAACAAACACAUUAUAUGGUGCUGCUUAGGUUUGUUUCUCUCCUAUUAUUGUUCCAUCACUUGUUUUACCUUUCAUUUGAAAUUAUUUGCCCUGUAUAGGAAAAAAAGUUUGUAGUUCUCAAAUGCUAAGCAGCUUCAUUUUUCCAGAACCAUCAACUUGUAGUAUGCAGUGCAUCUAUGUUGUGUGAUUUGAGUAAUGGAAGUUGCAGUUGUUAGUCUUUUUGGCUCUGUAUAGUGUGCAAAAUGUUACUUGGAUUGUGUGGUAUGAGGAAGAGUUUAGGAAGAGUGUGCUUUAAGGGUAUGCUAUUGUGAAAUUUGGGAUGCCAGAAAGCAUGUCUCUUUAUCAUACCCAUUUGAAAAUGGCAUGGAUUCAGCAUCAAAUCCAACAAAAAGAUGCUUCAUCUUCAUCGCCAAAUCCGGGUCAUUUCGAUAAACAAUCGUCAGCACCCUCAGCUUCAUCAUCGGGUGCUCGAAUUAGUCCUGCAGUUCUUUUCGUCAUAGUGAUUCUGGCUGUUCUGUUUUUCAUUUCGGGUUUGCUCCACCUGCUUGUUAGGUUUCUCACAAAGAAGAACCCAUCUUCACAAUCUGAUAGGCACCGCGAAAUUUCUAACUCUGAUGCUCUUGAAAGACAGCUGCAACAGCUUUUCCAUCUCCAUGACUUUGGUUUGGACCAAGCUUUCAUUGAUGCACUUCCUGUUUUCCAGUAUAAAGAGAUAACGGGGCUGAAGGAGCCCUUAGAUUGUGCUGUUUGUCUUUGCGAGUUUUCCGAAAAGGAUAAUCUCAGGUUGCUCCCUGUGUGCAGCCAUGCUUUUCAUAUCAAUUGUAUAGAUACAUGGCUUUUGUCAAACUCAACAUGCCCACUUUGUAGGGGAACACUCCUUGGCCUCGCUGCUGGCUUUUCGGUCGAAAAUCCAAUAUUUGAUUAUGAUGAUUUGAGGGAUGAUGAGGGCUGCUAUGGGGAAAAUGAAUUCCGUAAUAGAAAAAAAUCAGUUGAAAUUCAAGACAUUGUAGAAAAGGGGAUUUUCCCUGUAAGGCUUGGGAAAUUUAGAAGGCUGGAUGUGGAGGCAGUGGAGACUAUAGGAGGAGAGACUAGUAGCAGUAAUUUGGAUGCAAGAAGAUGUUACUCAAUGGGAUCUUACCAAUAUGUCCUUGGCAAAUCAGACUUGCGGAUAACCUUGAACAAUGACCGAAAAAGUUGCGAUGCUAAGCUCAAGAAAGAAAGCGAAAACUUGGAGAAACUUUCUGUUGAGGGUGAUAUUGAAGCAAAGAAGAUUAGAAGAGUUGGUAAAGGUGAGAGCUAUUCUGUUUCCAAAAUCUGGUUGUGGUCAGAGAAGGGCAAAUUUUCAGUUUCUUCUGAUGCUGGAAUGGGCAUGCCAUCUUCUCUUAAUGCAGAAUUGCCAUGGAUGAGGGAAACAGAAGGGUCAUGAAAGGUUUCAGGUUCAAUUCUCACUUCCCUAUAAAUUAAGGGUUUGAAUCUCUUAGGGGUCAGUAAUAUCCUAGUUUGUGGGCAACCCUUCUCGAGGAGAUUCCUAACGGUCCUACUUAAGAGCAUGCUUCAUUUUCAAUGAGAGUUCAAGUGAGGUCCCACUAAAAUUCUCCGAAACAACUCUUGCUCUGCUACCUUUCAGAUUUGAGGGUUCAUCAACAUGGAUUGUCCAUGCAUCUGUUGUGUCUUUUGAGACUUGGGGUUGGACAUCCACGAGCUCAACAACAAAGUUAGCCAGAACUUGAGAUUUGAUUUCACUUCUUGGCUCAUACUUGAUGUCGAAUAAUGAGAGCUCCACACAUAUGUCAAGAAUAUUAGAAGUGGUGAUGCCUAAUGGCAAUAAAAAUAGUAGACAUGCGAAAUGUGAAAGAAACACAACAAUUGCUGGGGAAUUUUUUAAUUACUUUUAUCAUUAUAUUUUUUUUUCUUAUGUCAAGUUACAAUUAUUUGUGAUAUAUUUUACACUUUUGAUCAAUAUGAUUGAUAUUGAAAUUUUA